rnacentral:rRNA from 1 species
CCCUUAGAUGUUCUGGGCCGCACGCGCGCUACACUGACGAAGUCAGCGAGCAUGUCCUACGCCGACAGGUGCGGGGAAUCUUGUCAAACUUCGUCGGGAUGGGGAUUGAUUUUUGAAAUUCUUGAUCAUAAACGAGGAAUUCCUAGUAAGCGCAAGUCAGCAGCUUGCGUUGAUUACGUCCCUGCCCUUUGUACACACCGCCCGUCGCUACUACCGAUUGAAUGGUUUAGUGAGAUCUUCGGAUUGGCGCCACUGCAGCUCAGCAAUGGGCUUGGUGGAUGCCGAAAAGUUGAUCAAACUUGAUCAUUUAGAGGAAGUAAAAGUCGUAACA